UCCUACGGGGGGCUGCAGUGGGGAAUAUUGGACAAUGGGCGAAAGCCUGAUCCAGCAAUACCGCGUGUGUGAAGAAGGCCUGAGGGUUGUAAAGCACUUUCAAUAGGAAGGAAUACCUGCCGGUUAAUACCCGGUAGACUGACAUUACCUAUACAAGAAGCACCGGCUAACUCUGUGCCAGCAGCCGCGGUAAUACGGAGGGUGCAAGCGUUAAUCGGAAUUACUGGGCGUAAAGCGUGCGUAGGCGGUUGUUUAAGUCAGAUGUGAAAGCCCUGGGCUUAACCUGGGAACUGCAUUUGAUACUGGACGACUAGAGUUUAGUAGAGGGGAGUGGAAUUUCAGGUGUAGCGGUGAAAUGCGUAGAGAUCUGAAGGAACACCAGUGGCGAAGGCGGCUCCCUGGACUAAAACUGACGCUGAGGUACGAAAGCGUGGGUAGCAAACAGGAUUAGAUACCCCAGUAGUCCCG
rnacentral:rRNA from 1 species